rnacentral:rRNA from 1 species
GAUGAACGCUGGCGGCGUGCCUAAUACAUGCAAGUAGAACGCUGAAGGAGGAGCUUGCUCUUCUGGAUGAGUUGCGAACGGGUGAGUAACGCGUAGGUAACCUGCCUGGUAGCGGGGGAUAACUAUUGGAAACGAUAGCUAAUACCGCAUGACAACAGUUAUUGCAUGAUAACUGUUUAAAAGGGGCAACUGCUCCACUACCAGAUGGACCUGCGUUGUAUUAGCUAGUUGGUGAGGUAACGGCUCACCAAGGCGACGAUACAUAGCCGACCUGAGAGGGUGAUCGGCCACACUGGAACUGAGACACGGUCCAGACUCCUACGGGAGGCAGCAGUAGGGAAUCUUCCGCAAUGGGCGAAAGCCUGACGGAGCAACGCCGCGUGAGUGAUGAAGGUCUUCGGAUCGUAAAACUCUGUUAUUAGGGAAGAACAUAUGUGUAAGUAACUGUGCACAUCUUGACGGUACCUAAUCAGAAAGCCACGGCUAACUACGUG